UAAUCAUUCAUUAGUAAAUUAGGAGCAUUCCUCACCCAGUGCAUCAGCACCUGAGAGCAAUUCUCUGAAGCCCCAGGAAAGGUGUUAAGCUUUGCCUCAUAAUGGAGGGAUAUUUCAGAAGGGAAACUACUGCUUUUUCAUUUUUGCAAGAUAUAUAAAGCGCAGAUAUGUAAAAAGUGUUAAAACCUGAGCCUGAAGAUCUUUGCAACUUUGUUGUUGGACUGAGGUGAAAGCUCGAAGAGAGUGCUGUGACUCCGUGUCAAGAGAUCUUCUGGCAGCUGAAGAACAGAGCAGAAGAUUUCUGCAACCCAGACAAGUUGCUGUAGAAAUCACACUUGUGAGUAGCAGCUCUUGCCAUGCAUAUUUUACUUUCCAACCUCUGGUUGGAAAGAUGGAGGAGUGAUGGAGAUCCACUGGUCCUCCAGCUGGGGCGUCUUCAUGUCUGAAACCCGAUUUAGAAACUUGAAAGCUCACAGGACCAACUGCACAACCCUGCGGUCAUAUUUCCUGUGCUUGGCACCCUGCCACGGGCACUGGGAGCACGGGUCCGUCGAUGCUGACUGCUGCUUCAUGCUCAAUGAUCUCAUGGAUGUGCAGAGUGAAGAAGGAUAAUCCCCAGCGAAGACAGGGGGCAGGGUUGAGCUGACCUUUGGAAGAGUGAAGAGAGGGAGAUGUUCCACCGCUUCUCUGCCACCACCUUAAAGCCAAUGGGAGCUUAAACUUCAUCUAGGUGAAAAUGAUGGCAAGGAAACGACAGAGGGCAGCUGCUACCUCCGGCUAUGCUCCAUCGGGAGGGUAGAAUAGAAAGGGAGAGGAUGUUUUAGCCCUUGACUGCCAUUUAUUCCAGCACUUACAAAAAAAUAUAUAUAUAUAUAUAUUAAAUCCUAAUCCUGAAACACCUAUUAAAAAGAGUACUAAACCAUGGCAGAAGAGUGUCUGUGAGGUAGGGCUUUUUGCAUUAACCCAGCAGAUUUUUUAUUUUAUUUAUUUUUUACUGUAAAUGAACUCUCACUGGCUUUCUUUAAAGGUCACCUUUUUUAUAACUACUGCGCUGGGAAAAUGCUUUUAAGUUUCAUCUGCUUUGUGUGUGUGCAUUUUCUAAGCCCUGGGUUUACUUCUUAUUGGAAAAUGGUCUUGGAUCAUCUCUGAGUUGGAAAUUUUAUUCUAUUUGUCAGGUGCAUGUGAAAAAGACAUUUUUUUUAACUCUUUAGACACCCAAUUUAUCGUUUUCAUUGGGUGCUCAGCA
rnacentral:lncRNA from 1 species